GAUGAACGCUGGCGGCGUGCUUAACACAUGCAAGUCGAACGAAGCACUUUAUUUGAUUUCCUUCGGGACUGAUUAUUUUGUGACUGAGUGGCGGACGGGUGAGUAACGCGUGGGUAACCUGCCUUGUACAGGGGGAUAACAGUUGGAAACGGCUGCUAAUACCGCAUAAGCGCACAGCAUCGCAUGAUGCAGUGUGAAAAACUCCGGUGGUAUAAGAUGGACCCGCGUUGGAUUAGCUAGUUGGUGAGGUAACGGCCCACCAAGGCGACGAUCCAUAGCCGGCCUGAUAGGGUGACCGGCCACAUUGGGACUGAGACACGGCCCAAACUCCUACGGGAGGCAGCAGUGGGGAAUAUUGCACAAUGGGCGAAAGCCUGAUGCAGCGACGCCGCGUGAGCGAAGAAGUAUUUCGGUAUGUAAAGCUCUAUCAGCAGGGAAGAUAAUGACGUUACCUGACUAAGAAGCACCGGCUAAAUACGUG
rnacentral:rRNA from 1 species